rnacentral:rRNA from 1 species
CGCGUAGGUGGUUGUGAUAGUCAGAUGUGAAAUCCUUUGGCUUAACUGAAGAACUGCAUCUGAAACUUCACAACUCGAGUACAGGAGAGGGAAACGGAAUUCCCGGUGUAGAGGUGAAAUUCGUAGAUAUCGGGAGGAACACCAGUGGCGAAGGCGGUUUCCUGGCCUGAUACUGACACUGAGGCGCGAAAGCGCGGGGAGCAAACA